CUUCACAUUACAAAGCGUCGCCAUCUGCUGGAGGAGUCCCAGAGCAAACACGCCCCUCCCCAACCAGCACACUGAUAUGUCAGCUGCUGCCUGACCUCAAUCCACGGUGUUUCCUGGAUCUCCGAUGAGUUCCUCAGACUCCUCCCUCUUCCUCUGCGCUGGUUUCUAAUUAAUCUUCCACAGUUGUUGCUGCCCUGACAGACGGGUCGUUUAUAUUCCUCCAAGGCAGCGGCAGUAGCUGCGCGUUUGAAACUGGGGUCGCUAGAGAAGAUACUAUGGAGACGCUUUUUCUUCUCAGCAUUUGGAUAUUCAGUCGCCUAGGCUCUGCGCUGGGCGACUCGGUCAAAUCCAACGAACCCGAAAUGUCUGGAUCAGUUGGAGGUUCUGUGACACUCAGCUGUUCUUACACCACCAGCGAUACCUAUGUCUAUCUCUAUUGGUACCGUCAGUACCCGAACCAAGCGCCGCAGUACAUUCUCUAUAGAGGAGCGAAAUCCUACAGCGGCCGCAGCCACACUGCAGAUUUCGCCCAGCAGAGGUUUUCUUCCCAGGCUGCUGACAGCUCCACAGUUCUGGACAUCGCAGCCCUAGAGAUGGCGGACAGUGCGGUGUAUCACUGCGCCCUGUGGAGAGCACAGUGA